rnacentral:misc_RNA from 1 species
GGGUUAUCACCUCAACUUUCAUUAUAGGUUCCAGGAGUCUUGGACCAGCCUUCCUCAAUCCUUCACGGAAUGCACCUCUGGCUGCAAUUUGGAAUGCCAGGACACUUGAAUCAACAUCAUGGUAUGAGCCAUCAACCAGCACCGCUCGGAGGUCCACAACAGGGUAACCAGCAAGGACACCAUUGGGCAAGCUUUCCUCAAUUCCCUUCAUCACGCCUGGUACAUAUUCUUUUGGAACUG